rnacentral:rRNA from 1 species
GUCGAGCGGACAGAAGGGAGCUUGCUCCCGGAUGUUAGCGGCGGACGGGUGAGUAACACGUGGGUAACCUGCCUGUAAGACUGGGAUAACUCCGGGAAACCGGAGCUAAUACCGGAUAGUUCCUUGAACCGCAUGGUUCAAGGAUGAAAGACGGUUUCGGCUGUCACUUACAGAUGGACCCGCGGCGCAUUAGCUAGUUGGUGAGGUAACGGCUCACCAAGGCGACGAUGCGUAGCCGACCUGAGAGGGUGAUCGGCCACACUGGGACUGAGACACGGCCCAGACUCCUACGGGAGGCAGCAGUAGGGAAUCUUCCGCAAUGGACGAAAGUCUGACGGAGCAACGCCGCGUGAGUGAUGAAGGUUUUCGGAUCGUAAAGCUCUGUUGUUAGGGAAGAACAAGUGCAAGAGUAACUGCUUGCACCUUGACGGUACCUAACCAGAAAGCCACGGCUAACUACGUGCCAGCAGCCGCGGUAAUACGUAGGUGGCAAGCGUUGUCCGGAAUUAUUGGGCGUAAAGGGCUCGCAGGCGGUUUCUUAAGUCUGAUGUGAAAGCCCCCGGCUCAACCGGGGAGGGUCAUUGGAAACUGGGAAACUUGAGUGCAGAAGAGGAGAGUGGAAUUCCACGUGUAGCGGUGAAAUGCGUAGAGAUGUGGAGGAACACCAGUGGCGAAGGCGACUCUCUGGUCUGUAACUGACGCUGAGGAGCGAAAGCGUGGGGAGCGAACAGGAUUAGAUACCCUGGUAGUCCACGCCGUAAACGAUGAGUGCUAAGUGUAGGGGGUUUCCGCCCCUUAGUGCUGCAGCUAACGCAUUAAGCACUCCGCCUGGGGAGUACGGUCGCAAGACUGAAACUCAAAGGAAUUGACGGGGGGCCCGCACAAGCGGUGGA